GGCUGCUUGGGGUGGCUAGGCCUGCGGGCAGCCUUGCUCCUUGCAGUGUGGGGAAAGAGGGCUGAUGCAGUUCCUGCUUAGGGGCAGGUGACUCCUCGCCUGGGCGCCCAGGCUCCGGCUUCAGAGCCGCCUGUCCACCCAUCAGCAGGGGCAGGUGAGGGCGCAGCCCCAAAGGGCUCUCCAGAGCCUUGCUCAGGGGCUGAUGAGAUGGCUGGACGGAUGGCCCACAAGGAGUUGCAGAUGGCCAUGGUUCAUCAGGGCAGCCUUGCCAGCCAGGUGGGCCUGCAGCCUCCCCAGAGCUGGCCCCCUGCCAAGCCUUGGGAUAGUUCUUGCCAUUGACCUUGGGCCACUUUGGCCUCGGGGCCUUGGGUGCUGGGGGCUCAGUGGAGCGCCCAUCUACUUCUGCAUGGGCACGAGGCAGCCGCAGGGGUAGCUCCCGCUCCUGGCUCAGUUUUAGGAAAGCAGCUGCGUUCAGGCUAGCCAGUCUCUUGGGAGCUGGGUCUCCAUCUCGGCGGGGACCUUCAUCGGGUGCUGGCUCUGGAGACAGGUCCCGACUUCCUCCUCCAAGGUCCCCCAGCCGGGGCCGCUUCUUGGAGGAGGACCAGCCCCCAGUAGCACGAUCACGGUCACGGCUGCGGUGGGGAUCCCCUGCUCGACUGCGGC
rnacentral:lncRNA from 1 species